rnacentral:rRNA from 1 species
UACGGGAGGCAGCAGUGGGGAAUAUUGCGCAAUGGGCGGAAGCCUGACGCAGCGACGCCGCGUGGGGGAUGACGGCCUUCGGGUUGUAAACCACUUUCAGCAGGGACGAAGCGGGAGUGACGGUACCUGCAGAAGAAGCACCGGCCAACUACGUGCCAGCAGCCGCGGUAAUACGUAGGGUGCAAGCGUUGUCCAGAAUUAUUGGGCGUAAAGAGCUCGUAGGCGGUCUGUCACGUCGGCUGUGAAAUCCCGAGGCUCAACCUCGGGUCUGCAGUCGAUACGGGCAAACUAGAGUAUUGCAGGGGAGACUGGAAUUCCUGGUGUAGCGGUGAAAUGCGCAGAUAUCAGGAGGAACACCGGUGGCGAAGGCGGGUCUCUGGGCAAUAACUGACGCUGAGGAGCGAAAGCGUAGGGAGCGAACAGGAUUAGAUACCCUGGUAG